rnacentral:rRNA from 1 species
UGGCAUUAUGUUUGCAAGUCGCCCGAGAAAUUUCCUUCGGGCAGCAUGGACAGCGGCGGAAGGGAGAGGAAUAAGUAGAAAUCUGCCCUCGGGACGGGGAUAGCGGCGGGAAACUGCCGGUAAUACCCGAUAACAUCCUUUGGAUCAAAUGGUGUGAUUCCGCCUGAGGAUGAGUCUACUUCCUAUUAGCUAGUUGGUGUGGUAAUGGCUCACCAAGGCAACGAUGGGUAGCGGGUGUGAGAGCACGAUCCGCCUCACUGGGACUGAGACACUGCCCAGACACCUACGGGUGGCUGCAGUCGAGAAUCUUCGGCAAUGGGGGAAACCCUGACCGAGCGACGCCGCGUGCGGGAUGAAGGCCCUCGGGUUGUAAACCGCUGUCGUAAGGGAACAAAUCUAAGAGGGUACUCCCUUUUAGUUGAGUGAUCUUAAGAGGAAGGACGGGCUAAGUUCGUGCCAGCAGCCGCGUAAGACGAACCGCCCGAACGUUAUUCGUAUCACUGCGCUUAAAGAGUUCGUAGGCGGCCGACAGUGAGGUGUGAAAUCCUCGCUUCCGAGAUUGCCU